CCAAGUUAAAAUGGAAAAUCCUAAUUUUGGAAUACUCUUUCCUUCUCCGCUUCUUCGUUUGAAACUGCAGUUAUUCCUUGACGACACUGCGUUUUUCAUUUCUUCUAACAUUGGGAACAUGUUUUGUCUUUUAGCGCGACAAGGAGAAGGUUUGGUAUAAAAAAGAUACGAUUUGUAUAAUAUUGUUUACUUUUCAGUGGUCUCAAUUGCAUGUGUGUUAGACUGUACAACUGGUUAGGUUUUUAGUGGUCCCAAUUGUUUAAUGCCCAUAUUUCUAAAUUUAGGUUUUCACUGUGUGGGGGUAAAUUUCGUUUUGCUUCAUUAAAGUGUGAAUGUUAAUCUUGAAGCUGUUGUUUAACCAUUGGUUAUAUCUGUAAUUGCAGACGUGAGCCUAUUCAGUGUGAUAUUUCAUCAUGGGGUCACUUUAUUCAUGAUAAACACAUGUUUUACAAUGAUGAGAAUGAAAUCAUUGUAGAAGGCCAAAACAAUGAUACAUGGAGUUUCUUUAAGGUUGUUAGUUUAGUUAAGGAGUAGGAUUAUGAUGGAUUUAGGCUUUGGAGAAAAAUUCUAGGACUUGAUGAAGGUUUCUACAACUCAUUUAUGAUGUAUAAACUGAAGAGAUUGCUAAACACAACCUUGAUAAUUCCGUGGAUGAUCAUAUAUGAGUUGAACACGAUAUUGAAGACAUGCUAAGAAAGGUAUUCAAGGGCUAAUAAUUCAGUGAAGGUAGUGAUGAAGAUGAUAGAGGUGUUAAUUUUAAUGAUAGUGAAAAAGAAAGAACUUGUGAAAGAAAUGAAGGAUUUAUGAAAGUUACACUGGAAAGACCAACUCAUGGUAGUAUGUUUGAGCUAAAUGGCAAGUCACUAAGAUGCAAGGUAAAGGAAAACAAAAGUCCGAAGAAAAUAAAAUCCCAAUUCAAGGUGAACAUGUUUGUUCCUGCCAAAAUGAUAUAAGUUCUAGUUCAAAGAGGAAUCCCACAAAUGUUGAAACUAAAGAUAUGAACUAUAAAAGGAAGAAAUGGAAAGCCCAUACCCUAAUAAUAUUGAAAAUGAAAAGCUUCCUAAGUAUGAGAAUUUUAGAGAAGAGUUGAUGAACAAGGACUUCCAAUUUAAACUAGGUAUGAAAUUUAAUUCUUUAAUUGAAUUCAAAGAUGUUAUUAGGGAGUGGUCAGUUCUGAAUGGAAGAGAGAUAAAAAAUUUAAAAAUGAAAGUGAUAAGGUUAGAUCAGAAUGUAGGGGUAAUUGUGGUUUUGUGGCAUUGUAUGGUAAAGUGGGUGACAAAUAUAAAUACCAAUUAAAGACAUGGGUAGGGACACACACAUAUGCUAUGGUUUUAAAUAACAAAUCUGUCAAUUCUAAGUGGGUCUCCAAGCUAGUGGUGGAGAAAAGAAAGCCAAUGGGUAAGGUUAAAGUGUAUGAGAUAAUGUUUGAGAUAAGGAUGAAGUAUUUUGUGGGUAUCACCAAAGGAAAGGCAUGGAGAGCAAGGAACAUGGCAGACGAAAUUAUUGAAGGAAUAUAACAAAAUAAUAUACCAUGUUGUGGAGACAUGCAAUAGAAAUUAAGAAGCAAUGUGAUGGGAAUAUUGUAAAAAUUUACAUUGAGAGACCAUUUUCAACUAUAUCACCGAGAUUUAGGCGAUUAUAUUUUUUGCUUUGAUGGUUGUAAGAAAGGUUUUACUAAAUCAUGUAGACCUUUUAUUGGAGUAGAUGAGUGCCACCUUUUAUCGGUGGUUGUUGCUAGGGACUCUAUUAACCAGUAUUACCCUUUGGCUUUUGAUAUAGUGGAGACAAAAAUAAAAGAAAGUUGGAAAUGGUUUUUAAAGUUACUGAUUGAAGAUAUUGGUGAUGAAAGAAGGGACUUGUGAGUUUAUUUGAAGAGAUGUUUGAACAAGUUGAGCAUAUGAUAUGGAUAAGAUUUUUGUAUGUCAUUUUUAAGAAGAAAGGAUCAGGUAGGCCUAAGAAUUUAAAGUUUAGGGAGCAUGAUGAUGCACCGUCAAGGAUGAGGAGACCUGGAGUGGCAUAUAGAUUCACCAAGCGUGACAAAUUUGGCCAUAAUUCAAAAAUAACUCAGAGCAAGGAACAUGACCCUAAUGCAUUGACAAGAAAGAAAGGAAAACCCCAAGAACCAAGAGUAAAAAUGAAGGGGGUCAAGAACCAUACUAUUGAAAAAAUUUGUAUUGGUCCAAAAGUAGAUGUAGUGAUUGGAGAAAUGAUGGUGAUUGUUGCUACACUUGAAGUUCAACCUUGAAAAGAGUCACAAUAUCAAGAUACACUUGUUGAAGAUCAGCAUUUCCAAGAGCCACAGUCUCAAGUCUAUAAUCAUGCACUGCUUCGGACUAAGGAACUCCCAAGCUAAACUCUUCAAGUAAGGUGAAGAAGAAACUACUUGAGAAGAAAACAAAACUUGAGAAGAAGAAACCUCAAGCACCUGAAAGGAGAAGCAAUAGGCUUAAAACUGUUUGGAGGUCAAAAAGAAAUGUUUGCCCAGGAUGAAAUUCAAUUGAACCAUUGGAAAUUGAGAAUGUAGUUGAUGAAUCUCAUGUACCUACCCAUGAAUACCCAUAAUUAAGUACUUGUGUGUGAAAAAUGAAGUAAUAGGAUGAAACUUCUAGGAAAUUGUCUCAGUAAUUCCUAGUUUACUAAUUUGCAAUUUAAUGCUUAUUUUGAAACAGUUUGUUAUGCACAAUGUGUGCUCAUUUAGGAAUAGUUUGUAAAGCACAUUAUAUGCUCAUUUUGGAACAUGUUUGUUAUUCACAAUGUGCUAUUUU